UAUGGUGGUUUUGCCGGGGGUGUUCACCUCUCCCAUUCCGAACAGAGAAGUUAAGUCCCCCAUGGCCGAUGGUACUCGCAUCUAGCUGGGAGAGUAGGUAGCUGCCAUAU
rnacentral:rRNA from 1 species